rnacentral:RNase_P_RNA from 1 species
GGUAAGGGUGAAAAGGUGAGGUAAGAGCUCACCAGCAGGCCGGGUGACCGGCCUGGCUUGGUAAACCCCAUCGGGAGCAAGGCCAAACAGAAAAGAGUCCGCUUGAAACAGCGGCCUGAGGCGAUCCGCCUCGGUUUCUUUUCGGGUGGGCUGCUUCAGGUGGCAGGUAACUGUCAUCGUAGAGAAAUGAUUGCUGCUUUUGGGCUUUGCCCAAAAGAACAAAACCCGGCUUACAGGCCCACUCAGAUU